rnacentral:rRNA from 1 species
UACCAGCUCUCCGAGUGGUGUGGAUGUUUAUUGGGCCUAAAGCAUCCGUAGCUGGCUGGACAAGUCCCCUGUUAAAUCCACCGAUUUAAUCGUUGGUGUGCGGGGGAUACUGUUCGGCUAGGGGACGGGAGAGGCAGACGGUAUUUUCGGGGUAGGGGUGAAAUCCUAUAAUCCCGGGAAGACCACCAGUGGCGAAGGCUGUCUGCUAGAACGCGCCCGACGGUGAGGGAUGAAAGCUGGGGGAGCGAACCGGAUUAGAUACCCGGGUAGUCCCAGCUGUAAACGAUGCAGGCUAGGUGUUUGGACGGCCACGUGCCGUUCUAGUGCCGCAGGGAAGCCGUUAAGCCUGCCGCCUGGGGAGUACGGCCGCAAGGCUGAAACUUAAAGGAAUUGGCGGGGGGGCACCACAAGGGGUGAAGCUUGCGAUUU